rnacentral:rRNA from 1 species
CGAUAUCGACUAGUUGACUCCUGGCUACAGAACGAACGCUGGCGGCGCGCCUAACACAUGCAAGUCGAACGAGAAUCCGGGGCAACCCGGUAGUAAAGUGGCAAACGGGUGAGGAAUACAUGGGUAACCUACCCUUGAGAAGGGAAUAACCCGCCGAAAGGUGAGCUAAUACCCUAUACGCUAUCUUUUUUCGAAAAGGAUAGGAAAGCCGGGUCGAGGACCUGGUACUCAAGGAGGGGCUCAUGUCCUAUCAGCUUGUUGGUGGGGUAACGGCCUACCAAGGCUACGACGGGUAGCUGGUCUGAGAGGAUGAUCAGCCACACUGGCACUGAGAUACGGGCCAGACUCCUACGGGAGGCAGCAGUGAGGAAUAUUGCGCAAUGGGCGAAAGCCUGACGCAGCGACGCCGCGUGGGGGAUGAAGGUUUUCGGAUUGUAAACCCCUUUCAUGAGGAAAGAUAAAGUGGGUAACCACUUAGACGGUACCUCAAGAAGAAGCCACGGCUAACUUCGUG